GAUGAAGAACGUAGCAAAAUGCGAUAAGUAAUGUGAAUUGCAGAAUUCAGUGAAUCAUCGAAUCUUUGAACGCACAUUGCGCCCGCCAGUAUUCUGGCGGGCAUGCCUGUUCGAGCGUCAUUUCAACCCUCAAGCACAGCUUGGUGUUGGGACUCGCGUUAAUUCGCGUUCCCCAAAUUGAUUGGCGGUCACGUCGAGCUUCCAUAGCGUAGUAGUAAAACCCUCGUUACUGGUAAUCGUCGCGGCCACGCCGUUAAACCCCAACUUCUGAAUGUUGACCUCGGAUCAGGUAGGAAUACCCGCUGAACUUAAGCAUAUCAAUAAGCUGAGGA
rnacentral:misc_RNA from 1 species